rnacentral:rRNA from 1 species
UACGUAGGGGGCAAGCGUUGUCCGGAAUCAUUGGGCGUAAAGAGCGUGUAGGCGGAUUGCUAAGUCAGGGGUGAAAUCCUGGAGCUCAACUCCAGAACUGCCUUCGAUACUGGGAGUCUCGAGUCCGGGAGAGGUGAGUGGAACUGCGAGUGUAGAGGUGAAAUUCGUAGAUAUUCGCAAGAACACCAGUGGCGAAGGCGGCUCACUGGCCCGGUACUGACGCUGAGGCACGAAAGCGUGGGGAGCAAACAGG